rnacentral:rRNA from 1 species
AUUGAACGCUGGCGGCAGGCCUGACACAUGCAAGUCGAGCGGCAGCGGAAAGUAGCUUGCUACUUUGCCGGCGAGCGGCGGACGGGUGAGUAAUGUCUGGGAAACUGCCUGAUGGAGGGGGAUAACUACUGGAAACGGUAGCUAAUACCGCAUAACGUCGCAAGACCAAAGAGGGGGACCUUCGGGCCUCUUGCCAUCAGAUGUGCCCAGAUGGGAUUAGCUAGUAGGUGGGGUAACGGCUCACCUAGGCGACGAUCCCUAGCUGGUCUGAGAGGAUGACCAGCCACACUGGAACUGAGACACGGUCCAGACUCCUACGGGAGGCAGCAGUGGGGAAUAUUGCACAAUGGGCGCAAGCCUGAUGCAGCCAUGCCGCGUGUGUGAAGAAGGUCUUCGGAUUGUAAAGCACUUUAAGUCGGGAGGAAGGACUGUAGGCUAAUACCUUGCAGUUUUGACGUUACCGACAGAAUAAGCACCGGCUAACUUCGUGCCAGCCGCCGCUGUAAUAC